rnacentral:rRNA from 1 species
UACGUAGGGUGCGAGCGUUAAUCGGAAUUACUGGGCGUAAAAGCGUGCGCAGGCGGUGAUGUAAGACCGAUGUGAAAUCCCCGGGCUUAACCUGGGAACUGCAUUGGUGACUGCAUCGCUCGAGUAUGGCAGAGGGGGGUAGAAUUCCACGUGUAGCAGUGAAAUGCGUAGAGAUGUGGAGGAAUACCGAUGGCGAAGGCAGCCCCCUGGGUCAAUACUGACGCUCAUGCACGAAAGCGUGGGGAGCAAACAGG